rnacentral:rRNA from 1 species
GACGAACGCUGGCGGCGUGCUUAACACAUGCAAGUCGAACGGAAAGGCCCUGCUUUUGUGGGGUGCUCGAGUGGCGAACGGGUGAGUAACACGUGAGUAACCUGCCCUUGACUUUGGGAUAACUUCAGGAAACUGGGGCUAAUACCGGAUAUGAGCUCCUGCUGCAUGGUGGGGGUUGGAAAGUUUCGGCGGUUGGGGAUGGACUCGCGGCUUAUCAGCUUGUUGGUGGGGUAGUGGCUUACCAAGGCUUUGACGGGUAGCCGGCCUGAGAGGGUGACCGGCCACAUUGGGACUGAGAUACGGCCCAGAAUCCUACGGGAGGCAGCAGUGGGGAAUAUUGCACAAUGGGCGGAAGCCUGAUGCAGCAACGCCGCGUGCGGGAUGACGGCCUUCGGGUUGUAAACCGCUUUCGACUGUGACGAAGCGUGAGUGACGGUAAUGGGUAAAGAAGCACCGGCUAACUACGUG